CGGUGGCGUAGCACUGUAGUGUGUUUGAAGACUUUCAGUGUCCGAGGGGAGUGGAGAGCUGGGAGAGUUCAAGGUGACUGUGGAGAGGAGAGGGCCAGCCGCAGGGAGCAUACUGCUGCAAUCACACAGCCUUGGACCUAUCACAACACUCCAUGUGGUACAGGGAGCCAUCACCGGUAACACCGAGGGGAUGAGAUAGGCGAGAGGCACAGGUGGAGGAGGACAUUUUGGGGGAGAGUCUGACAGUUGGAUGUUCUAAGUCUGUGUACUGUUUCAGUUUUCAAACAGCCCACCUGUCUAUGAAUCUGGAGAUGUUUGGGAUGGAGAGGACAGUGGACUCAGUGGAGGACAUUACAUUUACGUUUUAGUCAUUUAGCAGACACUCUUAUCCAGAGCGACUUACAGUAGUGAAUGCAUACAUUUCAUACUUUUUUUUUGUGUGUACUGGGCCCCCGUGGGAAUCGAACCCACAACCCUGGCAUUGCACACACCAUGCUGGCGUUGCAAACACCAUGCUCUACCAACUGAGCCACAGGGAAGGCUAUCCCACAGCCCAGCCACUUGGCAGUUUUGGCACUGCUACUUCCUACCGACAGGCACAUGGCCAGCUGAGUGCAGGUGGGCUCUCCAACAUAAGGCUCUUGAUGUUCUCACCCCAAAUACACACAGGUACACACAUACACAGGAGGAGUUGAAGGCGGAGCACCCGGAUCUCUGCGCCAUGAUGGCUGACUUCUUGCAGUUCCUGUUACUACGAAAACCGUGCGAUGUCAUUAUGUACGCCCGCGGACAGUGGUGUAAAGUACUUAAGUAAAAAUACUUGAAAGUACUACUUAAGUCGUUUUUGGGGGUAUCUGUACUUUACUUUACUAUUUAUAUUUUUGACAACUUUUACUUUACUACUUUCCUAAAGAAAAUAAUGUACUUUUUACUCCAUACAUUUUCCCUGACACCCAAAAGUACUGGAAAGGGGUUUAAUUCACACACUCAUCAAGAGAACAUCCCUGGUCAUCCCUACUGCUUCUGAUCUGGCGGACUCACUAAACACAUGCUUCAUUUGUAAAUUAUGUUGGAGUGUGCUCCUCGCUAUCGGUAAAUAAAUUUAAAAAACAACAAGAAAAUGGCGCAAUCUGGUUUGUUUCAUACAGUAUAAGACAUUUUGAAACAAUUUAUACUUUUUACUUUUGUAUCUUAAGUAUAUUAAAAAACAAAUGCUUAUAGACUUGUACUCAAUAACUCACUUUUACUUAAGUAAUUUUCUAUUAAGGUAUCUUUAUUUUUACUCAACUAUGACAAUUGUGUACUUUUUCCACCACUGCCCAAGGGGACUUUACCCCUUCGCCUUCCGCCAAUCCCCAGGGGGCACCUUCAACAUUUCACCUUUAGGACACGCACUGUGGCUGCAUAUCAAUAGUCUAGUACAGGGCUGGGCAAAGGCAGGCCCGGGGGCCAUAUGCGGCCCGCGACCUGAUUCAAUACUGCCCGCGGAAUCAUGCUCAGAUCACAUAAAGAAUUUGCGAUAGUAUAGUUUUGAAAAAAGGAUUUGUUGUUCAAAUUAAAAGCCGAAUGAAUACUC